CGCGGCCUAUCAGCUUGUUGGUGGGGUGAUGGCCUACCAAGGCGACGACGGGUAGCCGGCCUGAGAGGGCGACCGGCCACACUGGGACUGAGACACGGCCCAGACUCCUACGGGAGGCAGCAGUGGGGAAUAUUGCACAAUGGGCGGAAGCCUGAUGCAGCGACGCCGCGUGAGGGAUGACGGCCUUCGGGUUGUAAACCUCUUUCAGCAGGGACGAAGCCGUGAGGUGACGGUACCUGCAGAAGAAGCGCCGGCCAACUACGUGCCAGCAGCCGCGGUAAGACGUAGGGCGCGAGCGUUGUCCGGAUUUAUUGGGCGUAAAGAGCUCGUAGGCGGCUUGUCGCGUCGACUGUGAAAACCCGCGGCUCAACUGCGGGCCUGCAGCCGAUACGGGCAGGCUAGAGUUCGGUAGGGGAGACUGGAAUUCCUGGUGUAGCGGUGAAAUGCGCAGAUAUCAGGAGGAACACCGGUGGCGAAGGCGGGUCUCUGGGCCGAUACUGACGCUGAGGAGCGAAAGCGUGGGGAGCGAACAGGAUUAGAUACCCUGGUAGUCCACGCUGUAAACGUUGGGCGCUAGGUGUGGGGGGCCUCUCCGGUUUCCUGUGCCGCAGCUAACGCAUUAAGCGCCCCGCCUGGGGAGUACGG
rnacentral:rRNA from 1 species